UGAUCCCUCUGGUUUGUGG
rnacentral:misc_RNA from 1 species